UUUUUUUGAGGGGGCUGGAUACUAGAUGCCCAUUUCUUCUAUUUUUUAUUUUGAGACAGAGUCUUGCUAAGUUGCUGAGGCUGACCUGGAAUUUGGAAUCCUCCUACCUCUGCCUCCCCAGUCGCUGAGGUUACAGGCAUGUGCCACCACUGUGCCUGGCAUUUCAUGGCAUUUUAUCAUUAUUGGUUCAAUACAAGGUCCCGGCUCAUUAAUUUACCAUUCGCUUUUAUCCCUUCAUUCUCCACACUAACACUUGUUUCUCACCUUUCCUAAAGACAGACAUUUAUUUUUCUUUAUAACAUGAUUACUUUUGGUUAUCUCGUUUUUAAAUUUUUUUUUUUUAGUUGUAGAUGGGCACAAUGCAUUUAUUUAUUUAUUUGUUUUUGUGUGGUGUUGAGGAUUGAACCCAGUGCUAUGCAAGCAUCACACGUGCUAGGCAAGCACUCUAACACUGAACUACACCCCCAGCCCUGUUUUGAUUAUAGCUUAAAAUAAAUAGACUUUUAAGAGCAAUUUAAGAUUCACUGCAAAAUUAAGCAGAAUGUACAGAGUUCUCAUGCACCCCUUUCCCAUCCCCCAUACAGCCUCCUCCACUAUCAGUAUCACUCACCAGAAUGAUACCUUUUCUCCAAUUGAUGAAACUACAUUGAGUAUUGUCACACAAAAUUCUGUUGUUUACAUUGAAGUUCACUUUUGGAGCUAUACAUUCUGUAGGUUUUGAAAAAAUAUGAUAAUAUGUAGUUAACAUGAUAGUGUCAUACAGAAGAGUUUAACAGCCCCCCAAAUCCUCCACACGCCAUCUAUUCAUUCCUACUUCUCCUCUAAUACCUGGCACCACUUAGAUUAGAAUCAUAAAGUCUUUUUAGAUUUUUUUCUUUCACUAGUAAUAUGCAUUUAAAGUUUCCCCAUCUUUCCAUGGCUUG
rnacentral:lncRNA from 1 species